rnacentral:rRNA from 1 species
GUCGAGAGGCUUCGGCAAUGGGGGAAACCCUGACCGAGCGACGCCGCGUGUGCGAUGAAGGCCUUCGGGUUGUAAAGCACUGUCGUGUGGGGAGAAAGGUCUGCCGGCAAACAGUCGGCGGACUCUGACGGUACCACAGAAGGAAGCUCCGGCUAACUCCGUGCCAGCAGCCGCGGUAAUACGGGGGGAGCGAACGUUGUUCGGAAUUACUGGGCGUAAAGGGCGCGUAGGCGGCCUUGUAAGUGGGAUGUGAAAGCUCCUGGCUCAACCAGGGAACUGCGUCCCAUACUGCAAGGCUUGAGUGCAGGAGAGGAUGGGGGAAUUCCCGGUGUAGCGGUGAAAUGCAUUGAUAUCGGGAGGAACACCAGUGGCGAAGGCGCCCAUCUGGCCUGUUACUGACGCUGAUGCGCGAAAGCCGGGGGAGCAAACAGGAUUAGAAACCCUGGUAGUCC